AUAUGUACUUGAAAUUAAUGUGUAUUAUGUUUGUUUCAGGUGAAACAUUCUUAAUAUAUCUGUUAGGUCCAACUGGUCCAAUGUGUUAUUCAAAGGCAUUGUUUUCUUGUUGAUUUCCCAUCUGGAUGAUCUAUCCAUUGAUUAAGUGUCUCACUGAUGUGUUCUAUUCUUCCCUCAAGCCCGGUGUGUAUAUUAACGAAAACUGCUCUAAAUUCUCCAUAAGAUUCCCAACCUCUCUGGAUUCCCUCUCAUUUGGUGAAGCUGUGUCAUGGCAUGAUGGACACCCCCUGAAAUCCCCCUCCAAACCGCUCGACAGCAAAAGAAGGAUCAGAAGCUCAUCAUGAUGGUCCUUGCAUGUAAACUUAAGAUGA